AAGAAGCAUCCCUGCCGACCCCUGGGGAAGGCUGCCGCGGCACCUCCGGCGCAACCAAUCAGAAGGCUCCUUCGCGCAGCGGCGCGCCAACCGCAGGCGCCCUUUCUGCCGACCUCACUGGCUAUUUAAUGUCCCCUCCAGGGCAGGUUACUGAGGCCGUGAAGGUGGCCAUUGACGUCGGGUACCGCCACAUCGACUGUGCCCAUGUGUACCAGAAUGAGAAUGAGGUGGGGGUGGCCAUUCAGGAGAAGCUCAGGGAGCAGGUGGUGAAGCGUGAGGAGCUCUUCAUCGUCAGCAAGCUGUGGUGCACGUACCAUGAGAAGGGCCUGGUGAAAGGAGCCUGCCAGAAGACACUCAGCGACCUGAAGCUGGACUACCUGGACCUCUACCUUAUUCACUGGCCGACUGGCUUUAAGCCUGGGAAGGAAUUUUUCCCACUGGAUGAGUCAGGCAGUGUGGUUCCCAGUGACACCAACAUUCUGGACACGUGGGCGACACUUUUCUCUGUAGGCCAUGGAAGAGCUGGUGGAUGAA
rnacentral:sRNA from 1 species